rnacentral:tRNA from 1 species
UUAGGGUGAAAUCAGUUGAUAUUUCAUUUACAAUGAAAGAUAGUAAUUUAUUUACCGCUCUAAA